rnacentral:rRNA from 1 species
GGUUAAGCGACUAAGCGUACACGGUGGAUGCCCUGGCAGUCAGAGGCGAUGAAGGGCGUGCUAAUCUGCGAUAAGCGCCGGUAAGGUGAUAUGAACCGUUAUAACCGGCGAUACCCGAAUGGGGAAACCCAGUGUGACUCGUCACACUAUCAUUAACUGAAUCCAUAGGUUAAUGAGGCGAACCGGGGGAACUGAAACAUCUAAGUACCCCGAGGAAAAGAAAUCAACCGAGAUUCCCCCAGUAGCGGCGAGCGAACGGGGAGGAGCCCAGAGCCUGAAUCAGCAUGUGUGUUAGUGGAAGCGUCUGGAAAGGCGCGCGAUACAGGGUGACAGCCCCGUACACAAAAGCGCAUGUGCUGUGAGCUCGAUGAGUAGGGCGGGACACGUGGUAUCCUGUCUGAAUAUGGGGGGACCAUCCUCCAAGGCUAAAUACUCCUGACUGACCGAUAGUGAACCAGUACCGUGAGGGAAAGGCGAAAAGAACCCCGGCGAGGGGAGUGAAAAAGAACCUGAAACCGUGUACGUACAAGCAGUGGGAGCACCCUUUGGGGUGUGACUGCGUACCUUUUGUAUAAUGGGUCAGCGACUUAUAUUCUGUAGCAAGGUUAACCGUAUAGGGGAGCCGUAGGGAAACCGAGUCUUAACCGGGCGUUAAGUUGCAGGGUAUAGACCCGAAACCCGGUGAUCUAGCCAUGGGCAGGUUGAAGGUUGGGUAACACUAACUGGAGGACCGAACCGACUAAUGUUGAAAAAUUAGCGGAUGACCUGUGGCUGGGGGUGAAAGGCCAAUCAAACCGGGAGAUAGCUGGUUCUCCCCGAAAGCUAUUUAGGUAGCGCCUCGUGAAUUCAUCUCCGGGGGUAGAGCACUGUUUCGGCUAGGGGGCCAUCCCGGCUUACCAACCCGAUGCAAACUGCGAAUACCGGAGAAUGUUAUCACGGGAGACACACGGCGGGUGCUAACGUCCGUCGUGAAGAGGGAAACAACCCAGACCGCCAGCUAAGGUCCCAAAGUCAUGGUUAAGUGGGAAACGAUGUGGGAAGGCCCAGACAGCCAGGAUGUUGGCUUAGAAGCAGCCAUCAUUUAAAGAAAGCGUAAUAGCUCACUGGUCGAGUCGGCCUGCGCGGAAGAUGUAACGGGGCUAAACCAUGCACCGAAGCUGCGGCAGCGACGCUUAUGCGUUGUUGGGUAGGGGAGCGUUCUGUAAGCCUGUGAAGGUGGCCUGUGAGGGUUGCUGGAGGUAUCAGAAGUGCGAAUGCUGACAUAAGUAACGAUAAAGCGGGUGAAAAGCCCGCUCGCCGGAAGACCAAGGGUUCCUGUCCAACGUUAAUCGGGGCAGGGUGAGUCGACCCCUAAGGCGAGGCCGAAAGGCGUAGUCGAUGGGAAACGGGUUAAUAUUCCCGUACUUGGUGUUACUGCGAAGGGGGGACGGAGAAGGCUAUGUUGGCCGGGCGACGGUUGUCCCGGUUUAAGCGUGUAGGCUGGUUUUCCAGGCAAAUCCGGAAAAUCAAGGCUGAGGCGUGACGACGAGGCACUACGGUGCUGAAGCAACAAAUGCCCUGCUUCCAGGAAAAGCCUCUAAGCAUCAGGUAACAUCAAAUCGUACCCCAAACCGACACAGGUGGUCAGGUAGAGAAUACCAAGGCGCUUGAGAGAACUCGGGUGAAGGAACUAGGCAAAAUGGUGCCGUAACUUCGGGAGAAGGCACGCUGACACGUAGGUGAAGUGAUUUACUCAUGGAGCUGAAGUCAGUCGAAGAUACCAGCUGGCUGCAACUGUUUAUUAAAAACACAGCACUGUGCAAACACGAAAGUGGACGUAUACGGUGUGACGCCUGCCCGGUGCCGGAAGGUUAAUUGAUGGGGUCAGCGCAAGCGAAGCUCCUGAUCGAAGCCCCGGUAAACGGCGGCCGUAACUAUAACGGUCCUAAGGUAGCGAAAUUCCUUGUCGGGUAAGUUCCGACCUGCACGAAUGGCGUAAUGAUGGCCAGGCUGUCUCCACCCGAGACUCAGUGAAAUUGAACUCGCUGUGAAGAUGCAGUGUACCCGCGGCAAGACGGAAAGACCCCGUGAACCUUUACUAUAGCUUGACACUGAACAUUGAGCCUUGAUGUGUAGGAUAGGUGGGAGGCUUUGAAGCGUGGACGCCAGUCUGCAUGGAGCCGACCUUGAAAUACCACCCUUUAAUGUUUGAUGUUCUAACGUGGACCCGUUACCCGGGUUGCGGACAGUGUCUGGUGGGUAGUUUGACUGGGGCGGUCUCCUCCUAAAGAGUAACGGAGGAGCACGAAGGUUGGCUAAUCCUGGUCGGACAUCAGGAGGUUAGUGCAAUGGCAUAAGCCAGCUUGACUGCGAGCGUGACGGCGCGAGCAGGUGCGAAAGCAGGUCAUAGUGAUCCGGUGGUUCUGAAUGGAAGGGCCAUCGCUCAACGGAUAAAAGGUACUCCGGGGAUAACAGGCUGAUACCGCCCAAGAGUUCAUAUCGACGGCGGUGUUUGGCACCUCGAUGUCGGCUCAUCACAUCCUGGGGCUGAAGUAGGUCCCAAGGGUAUGGCUGUUCGCCAUUUAAAGUGGUACGCGAGCUGGGUUUAGAACGUCGUGAGACAGUUCGGUCCCUAUCUGCCGUGGGCGCUGGAGAACUGAGGGGGGCUGCUCCUAGUACGAGAGGACCGGAGUGGACGCAUCACUGGUGUUCGGGUUGUCAUGCCAAUGGCACUGCCCGGUAGCUAAAUGCGGAAGAGAUAAGUGCUGAAAGCAUCUAAGCACGAAACUUGCCCCGAGAUGAGUUCUCCCUGAGACUUUAGGUCUCCUGAAGGAACGUUGAAGACGACGACGUUGAUAGGCCGGGUGUGUAAGCGCAGCGAUGCGUUGAGCUAACCGGUACUAAUGAACCGUGAGGCUUAACCUU